ACGCUGGCGGCAGGCUUAACACAUGCAAGUCGAGCGGGCGUAGCAAUACGUCAGCGGCAGACGGGUGAGUAACGCGUGGGAACGUACCUUUUGGUUCGGAACAACACAGGGAAACUUGUGCUAAUACCGGAUAAGCCCUUACGGGAAAGAUUUAUCGUCGAAAGAUCGGCCCGCGUCUGAUUAGCUAGUUGGUAGGGUAAUGGCCUACCAAGGCGACGAUCAGUAGCUGGUCUGAGAGGAUGAUCAGCCACAUUGGGACUGAGACACGGCCCAAACUCCUACGGGAGGCAGCAGUGGGGAAUAUUGGACAAUGGGGGCAACCCUGAUCCAGCCAUGCCGCGAGAGUGAUGAAGGCCCUAGGGUUGUAAAGCUCUUUUGUGCGGGAAGAUAAUGACGGUACCGCAAGAAUAAGCCCCGGCUAACUUCGUG
rnacentral:rRNA from 1 species